GUCGAGAGGCUUCGGCAAUGGGGGAAACCCUGACCGAGCGACGUCGCGUGGGUGAUGAAGAUCUUCGGAUCGUAAAACCCUGUCAGGUGGGAUGAAAUGUCACAUGGUAAAUAGCCACGUGGCUUGACAGUACCACCAGAGGAAGCUCCGGCCAACUCCGUGCCAGCAGCCGCGGUAACACGGGGGGAGCGAGCGUUGUUCGGAAUCAUUGGGCGUAAAGAGCUCGUAGGCGGCUCCGUCAGUCGGGGGUGAAAGGCCAUGGCUCAACCAUGGAUACGCCUCUGAAACUACGGAUCUUGAGAUCGGGAGAGGAAAGUGGAAUUCCUGGAGUAGCGGUGAAAUGCGUAGAUAUCAGGAGGAACACCAGUGGCGAAGGCGGCUUUCUGGCCCGAUUCUGACGCUGAGGAGCGAAAGCCAGGGGAGCGAACGGGAUUAGAUACCCGUGUAGUCC
rnacentral:rRNA from 1 species